CAUCUGGUGAGCCAGCGCAUCACACGGAACGCCGUUUACCUUCCCGCUGGGCGGGCGCUACUACCGAGAAGGCCCUCUGCCUAGCAAAGGCAAGAUGAGAGCAACACCAAGAUGGCAGUGAUGCAGACAUUUCCUUCCCUGUCAGGAAGCCUGAAGAUGGUCAGCAGCUGUUGCCAUGCAGCACUUCUAAAGAUUUACUGUCUCGGUACUUUGGAGCAGUAAAGUGGAAAUACAGUGAAGGACAGUUUUGAGGUUUGCCACUUCUCUGAGGGAGAGUAACAGGCAAGAGGCAAGGGAAGUAUUAUUAUUAUUAUUAUUAUUAUUAUUAUUAUUAUUAUUAUUAUUAUUAUUAUUUUCUAUUCUGCUGUGUUUCUUGCCCCAAGCUUGAGCAGGAUACAAAUAUCAUUGAAUGGUUUAAAUGCAGCCUGGUUGUGAUUUGGGCUGCUGGCUUAUCAGAAAAACACGCCUGGCCUGCAGUGUCCUGUUCAGCACAGUGGGUUAAACUUUUCCUAGCAUGGAAGGAAGCAUUAUCACCUGCUAAUGUCUGUACAGCAGGUUUUUUUUCAAAGUUUCAGCUAUAGUGGCAGGUUGAAAAAGGUUGCAUCCCUAGCUGUGAUUUGCCCAUUUCGUGAACUUCACACGAAUACUCUCCAUUCAUAGGCUCACUACUGGAACAAAACGGAUUACGUGAGCAUGGUUCACGUGUAUAGUUCAAUGUGUGUACGGCUUGUGUACCUGUUGUUUGCAAAUAGUUGAGCUGUACAAAUCAAGAAGUAUGCACACAAACACUUGCAGGUACAUGUCCAGAGACAAUUUGUGCCCUGUGUUCAGUGUAACAUGUGUACAAGCCUAUUCUCUAACACCCUAAACAAAGUAGGUCCAAGUGUCACCCAAAGCCUGUAGAUCAGUAUAGGGAUGGACUUACUGUAUCUUUCAAUUUUGGUUCUCUCAUUUUCUCAAUUUUCCAAUCUUUAAUGCAGCUCUCCACAUUUCUGUAGCAAUUUGCGAUUCAAAAAAAUCGGCAUGAAAAUUGGUCAGCAAUUUCUCCCAAUAAACAAUUACUUUAUGCAGUCUUGAGUCAUGGGCACAUGUUUGCUAGCAAUUCCUCCUGUGACAAUGCAUGUUUGUAUGUCAUUUUCACCAACAUAGUCAUUUUUAUGCACACUUUCUUCCUAAUAUGUGGAUUUUUUGGUUGGAGAAUUGCUUCAUAAAAUCUGG